CGACUCUGUCGUCUGUCAGUCGGCUGCAGGACCUCAGGAGCAGCACUUGUCCAUGACCAAGUCUCCAAGCAGCAGCAGGAAUGGCUCUUGUCAGGACCCUGAUGGCUGUAUGGCUGCUCUGCUGCCUCAUCACUCUCUGCAGCUCACACACACCAGAACCGUAUUUCCUGGUGACCUUCUCGGCGGUAGCAGAGAACUUAGAACACAGGCAGAAGAUUCAGUCUGAUUGGUUCCCAUUGUAGCCUGUUAGCUUUGCAUGCAUACUGCAGUUCCUAUGGGAUGUCCACUAGU